AACGCUAGCUACAGGCUUAACACAUGCAAGUCGAGGGGAAACGACAUCGAAAGCUUGCUUUUGGUGGGCGUCGACCGGCGCACGGGUGAGUAACGCGUAUCCAACCUGCCCACCACUUGGGGAUAACCUUGCGAAAGUAAGACUAAUACCCAAUGAUAUCCCGCGAAGGCAUCCGAAUGGGAUUAAAGAUUUAUCGGUGAUGGAUGGGGAUGCGUCUGAUUAGCUUGUUGGCGGGGUAACGGCCCACCAAGGCGACGAUCAGUAGGGGUUCUGAGAGGAAGGUCCCCCACAUUGGAACUGAGACACGGUCCAAACUCCUACGGGAGGCAGCAGUGAGGAAUAUUGGUCAAUGGACGAGAGUCUGAACCAGCCAAGUAGCGUGCAGGACGACGGCCCUAUGGGUUGUAAACUGCUUUUAUAAGGGAAUAAAGUGAGCUACGUGUAGCUUUUUGCAUGUACCUUAUGAAUAAGGACCGGCUAAUUCCGUGCCAGCAGCCGCGGUAAUACGGAAGGUCCGGGCGUUAUCCGGAUUUAUUGGGUUUAAAGGGAGCGUAGGCCGGAGAUUAAGCGUGUUGUGAAAUGUAGUGGCUCAACCUCUGCACUGCAGCGCGAACUGGUCUUCUUGAGUACGCACAACGUGGGCGGAAUUCGUGGUGUAGCGGUGAAAUGCUUAGAUAUCACGAAGAACUCCGAUUG
rnacentral:rRNA from 1 species